rnacentral:sRNA from 1 species
CAGACAGUCAGAUGCUGGUGUCUGUGCCAUCCUCACGCUCGCGGGAGUUUUGGCAUGGGAUUCUUGGUUGUGAUUCCCCCGGACUCCACUGUCUGAAGACCAGGUUUCCUAUGAAGAGGGUCUGACGGGAACCUGUUCCCAGUGAUUUGAGGAUGAUGCUGGAGGGUCUUGAAAUCUUUAAAACCAGUAAAACCUGCAACUUGAAAACUAGCCUUCUGUAACCACGGUGCCCAAACGAAGAGGAAUGUAUGGAGAACUCCACGUGGAUCUCUGAUUGCGAAACCGUCACAUACACCAAGAGAGCCACAUGGGCAUGUGGCCCUCAAGGCUGGGUGAGAGGGCUCCCCUGUGUGUUGAACUAUGCAGGAGGUGACGCAGACACACUUCAGGUGGACUUUGCAAGGACUGAUGGAUAGCUACCUCAGGGGCCAGAAUCCGUGGGAAGGGGUGGACCUGGUGUUCCCGUUCCCAUCUGACAGGCUCUCUUUUGUCAAGGUGGUAUUUUUCGUAAUAAAAGGGGAAGAGUAAAGACUGUCCAAGCAGCAGUAGUUGCCAAAGAGAAAAUACGAAACAGACACUUUUUUUUUUUUUUUUUUUUUGAGUCAGAGUCUCACUCUGUCAUCCAGGACAGAGUGCAGUGGUGCGAUCUCAGCUCACUGCA